AGCUUUCGGAGGGCGACAUAAGGUACAAGCUUUCACCUUAGCCUUUGCUACUUGGUCAACCCUGAUCAUUCCAUCGGGAUUGGUCAUCUUAGUGAAGCUUACAUGGGACAAUUAUAUGGUAUGGAAAAACAUCAUACUCCAUAUUCUCAAUGAUUAUGACAUUCUGCAGGUGGUACAAGAUGAUUUACCCCAGCCAUAAGACUUAGGCUAUGAAACUUAAUGGAGGUCCGAUCAACAAGUCCUUGCCUUCCUCCUGUCGUCUCUCUCAGAGACAAUCAUCUCUGACCUCAACAAUAGACAGAUCGCGAAAGACACAUAGGAAGCUUUUGAAGCAACAUAUGUAUCCCGAG
rnacentral:lncRNA from 1 species